ACAGUACAAACUGAGCAGGCCGGGGCCGAGUGCCCGGAGCCGGGUUACGAAAGUGACAGUGGGAACAGUUCACCCACGGGACAGUA
rnacentral:ncRNA from 1 species